CUCUGAAAGUCCGAGGACCACAGCUUGGGAAUCAACCAACGCUGUAAAGAAGCGGAAGUAAAUGCAACGUGAUAUGUGACGAGCAUUGUAAACAAAAUGUUUAGCUAGACUGGAAAAGGGAUGCCGUCUGCACAGUCUCUGAACUGAAGCUCCAGGAUGUUGUGUGAAGUCUUGCUCUCGUCGCUAUGGUUCCUGUUUUUUAUCUUCUGGGUCGAGACAAUAAGUGUUUGGCUGUUUCUGUCCAUGUUCUACCAGGACCGGGCGUUUUACCACUGGGGAGAUGGGGUAUUUGCAGAUGAUCCUGGGCAGAUGCUAUACACGUUGAGCAGAGUUGAUACCCAUAUACAGACAGAGAUGCAGACCUGAGACGGGAUCGAGAACUCCACUGAAAGGACUCUCACCAAAGGGCUGUUGCAGUUAUGUGACUGACGAACGUUUGAUAAAAAGCAGUAGCUGUUUUUCCUUUGCACUGACUGCCUCGCACACUGUUGUGCACAGUCCUUGUUAACAUAGAUAAAUGUAGGCCCACUUUUAAUAAAAGGGUGGUGGAGGGUUACAGCAUGCGUGAAGGUGCAGAUAAGGUAUGUAGAGAGGGAGGUUCUUAAUGAUUGAUGUGCUCACACCAUCAAAUCUAACAUUUGUAUUUUCACUUUUAAGAUUUUGGAGGAGUAGAGUGAAUGUAGCAGAAAUGCUUGGUUCACAAUGGAUGAGGAGUUCAUUGCAUCUUGCUUUUAUUUCUUUAAACUCUAUUUUAAAACUUGCACAGGUGGUGUAAACAUACUGGCGUUCUAUGCAACUACAGUUAUUGCUUUCUGCAGCUGUAUCGGAUAUCAAUAAAUCUGUUCUAAGUUAGGCGUACGAAUGUUAUUAACAAUUAUCAGAUAUUCUGGUGUAUGUUUGUUGCCACAACCUUUUUUAACGAAGCUAAUGAAUAUUGGAGGUGGUGGAGCCAUGUACUUGGGUUUAGAUACUCGUCUAAACACAGUAGAUAGAUGAUAAAGAGCUCAUAAUUUCAUUAUGGAGUAUAUUUUUCACACUAACAACCCUCAUUUACAGUAGAUAAACUAGCAACAUGGACAACAUUAUUUGAGCUUUAUUAUUACCUUGGAAACUACUUACUUUUCAGAGCUUUCAGUUUCCAUCUUGUGGCCUUUAUCAGCAGACGGAUUUUGCUCUAUUGUCAUGUAUCUCUAUCCCGAUAGAAAGACCACCUGUUAUCACAUGAAUAAAAAUUCCAUAAUGAGGACACAUGAUAAAGGCAAAUGCUCCUUCUGCUGAUGAAGAUCACAGUAUAGGACUGACAGCCCUGGAAUUGGACCUUGUGUUAAGAAUAUUUUGUCAGAAAGGAGCAAUAAUAGAAGUUGUGUGUGUGUGUGUGUGUGUGUCUGAAGACAGGAAAAUAAUAGUGGCGAGAGUCAAUCACAUAAUAGGAAAGUCUCAAAACUUUAUGUCAGUGUUAUACCCUGUAAAUGUAAUAAAAGUGAAAUUAUACUUUUAAAAAAUCAAAUUAUUUUGAAGCGUGUGAGUUUAUUAUUAUUAUCAACCAAACAUUUUUUGUAUUCCCUGCCGAUACCUCUGUCGAUUAAAGGGUUUACUUUUGAACAAAACCA